rnacentral:rRNA from 1 species
AUACGGAGGGUCCAAGCGUUAUCCGGAAUCAUUGGGUUUAAAGGGUUCGCAGGCGGUUCAUUAAGUCAGUGGUGAAAUCUCUCGGCUCAACCGAGAAACUGCCAUUGAUACUGAUGGACUUGAAUAUAGUUGGAGUAGGCGGAAUGUGUAGUGUAGCGGUGAAAUGCUUAGAUAUUACACAGAACACCGAUAGCGAAGGCAGCUUACUAAACUAUUAUUGACACUCAUGAACGAAAGCGUGGGGAGCGAACAGGAUUAGAAACCCUAGUAGUCC